AGCGAACGCUGGCGGCAGGCCUAACACAUGCAAGUCGAACGGAUCCUUCGGGAUUAGUGGCGGACGGGUGAGUAACACGUGGGAACGUGCCUUUUGGUUCGGAACAACUCAGGGAAACUUGAGCUAAUACCGAAUGUGCCCUUCGGGGGAAAGAUUUAUCGCCAUUAGAGCGGCCCGCGUCUGAUUAGCUAGUUGGUGGGGUAAAGGCUCACCAAGGCUACGAUCAGUAGCUGGUCUGAGAGGAUGAUCAGCCACAUUGGGACUGAGACACGGCCCAAACUCCUACGGGAGGCAGCAGUGGGGAAUCUUGCGCAAUGGGCGAAAGCCUGACGCAGCCAUGCCGCGUGAAUGAUGAAGGUCUUAGGAUUGUAAAAUUCUUUCACCGGGGACGAUAAUGACGGUACCCGGAGAAGAAGCCCCGGCUAACUUCGUG
rnacentral:rRNA from 1 species